rnacentral:rRNA from 1 species
GACGUAGGGCGCGAGCGUUGUCCGGAUUUAUUGGGUGUAAAGAGCUCGUAGGCGGCUUGUCGCGUCGUCCGUGAAAACUUGGGGCUCAACCCCAAGCUUGCGGUCGAUACGGGCAGGCUCGAGUUCGGUAGGGGAGACUGGAAUUCCUGGUGUAGCGGUGAAAUGCGCAGAUAUCAGGAGGAACACCGGUGGCGAAGGCGGGUCUCUGGGCCGAUACUGACGCUGAGGAGCGAAAGCGUGGGGAGCGAACAGG